rnacentral:rRNA from 1 species
GACGAACGCUGGCGGCGCGCUUAACACAUGCAAGUCGAACGGAAAGGCCUGCUUUCCCUUGUGGAUUGCGGGUACUCGAGUGGCGAACGGGUGAGUAACACGUGAGUGAUCUGCCCCCAACUUGGGUAUAAGCCUGGGAAACUGGGUCUAAUUCCCGAUAGGACUGCAGGGUGGUGCCUGUGGUGGAAAACGAUUUUCUAGUGGUUGGGGAUGAGCUCGCGGCCUAUCAGCUUGUUGGUGGGGUAAUGGCCUACCAAGGCGGCGACGGGUAGCCGGCCUGAGAGGGUGGACGGCCACAUUGAGACUGAGAUACGGCCCAGACUCCUACGGGAGGCAGCAGUGGGGAAUAUUGCACAAUGGGCGGAAGCCUGAUGCAGCGACGCCGCGUGGGGGAUGACGGCCUUCGGGUGGUAAACUCCUUUCGACCGCGAGGAAGCCACCUGGUUGGAAGGGUGGUGACGGUAGUGGUAGAAGAAGCACCGGCUAACUACGUG